rnacentral:rRNA from 1 species
CCCUGCCCUUAAAGUCUGGGAUACCAUUUGGAAACAGAUGCUAAUACCGGAUAAAAAGCUACUUUCGCAUGAAAGAAGUUUAAAAAAGGACGGCGUAAAGCUGUCGCUAAAGGAUGGACCUGCGAUGCAUUAGCUAGUUGGUAAGGUAACGGCUUACCAAGGCGAUGAUGCAUAGCCGAGUUGAGAGACUGAUCGGCCACAUUGGGACUGAGACACGGCCCAAACUCCUACGGGAGGCAGCAGUAGGGAAUCUUCCACAAUGGACGCAAGUCUGAUGGAGCAACGCCGCGUGAGUGAAGAAGGUUUUCGGAUCGUAAAGCUCUGUUGUUGGUGAAGAAGGAUAGAGGUAGUAACUGGCCUUUAUUUGACGGUAAUCAACCAGAAAGUCACGGCUAACUACGUGCCAGCAGCCGCGUAAAU